rnacentral:rRNA from 1 species
ACUGGCGACCGGCGCACGGGUGAGUAACACGUAUCCAACCUGCCGAUGACUCGGGGAUAGCCUUUCGAAAGAAAGAUUAAUACCCGAUGGCAUAGUUCUUCCGCAUGGUGGAACUAUUAAAGAAUUUCGGUCAUCGAUGGGGAUGCGUUCCAUUAGGUUGUUGGCGGGGUAACGGCCCACCAAGCCUUCGAUGGAUAGGGGUUCUGAGAGGAAGGUCCCCCACAUUGGAACUGAGACACGGUCCAA